GCUUCUGCACUAUGAGCAUCACGUUAGCAAAGGAAGGAGAGCCAAGCACGAAAGACGGUACCGCAGAAAACAAUUUUUCGGUGAAAGAAAAUGAGGGGAGAAUAAAUGUCCCGGGCCAACCAGUAGAGAUAAAAGAAUAGGAAGAAUGAAAAGAUCUCAAAAUAUUGAGAAUUUCUUCCUUAAGAAGGCUAAAAUACAACCAGAAGCAGAGAGCAAUGUCAGGGAAAGGUGGACUGAGCAGCAGUCAUCAUUGUCACCUGUGAGUUCUACAAAUGAAGGCACUUCUUCACCUGUUCAUGAUCAACCAGAUAACCAGGAUGUGGUGCCUUUUGAAACAUCUUCAGUGCUGUUGUUUACAAAUGUUUUUGUACUUCUUGUCUUCCUAACAUGUAACAGACUCUUAUUAAAAGUUCAAGAGGUUUAUUUUUGCACAAUUUGUACUGAAAACAUUAUCAAAAGAAGGUAUAGAAAGUAU